AGUGAACGCUGGCGGCGUGCCUAAUACAUGCAAGUCGAACGGAGUGGCGCACGGGUGAGUAAUAUAUAGCUAAUCUGCCCCUUUCUGGAGGACAACAGAUAGAAAUGACUGCUAAUACUCCAUAGCAAGUGAUGAGACGAUAUAGUAUAAGCUAGUCGGUGGGGUAACGGCGUACCGAGGGUAUGACGCGUAACUGGUCUGAGAGGAUGAUCAGUCACAUUGGAACUGAGGCAGAGUCCAAAAUCUUGCGAGAGGCAGCAGUAGGGAGUAUUGCCCAAUGGGGGUGACCCUGACGCAGCAACGCCGCGUGGAGGAUGACACUUUUCGGAGCGUAAACUCCUUUUGUUAGGGAAGCGGUACCUAACGAAUAAGCACCGGCUAACUCCGUGCCAGCAGCCGCGGUAAUAC
rnacentral:rRNA from 1 species